UAGCUGAGUUGGUAGUGCGUCUGCCUUGUAAGCACUAGGUCGUGGGUUCGAUUCCCGC
rnacentral:tRNA from 1 species